UACAAUAUACAAUUGUCAUAUUGUGCAGCUGGUGGGAGAGUAGAUGGUCUAUCCUUUUCAACCAAACAUUUUUUUUACAAAAAGACAAAAAUCUUUAGAAUGCCACUAAUUUUUAAUUUAUCAUCUAAUUUUUUUGAAUUAAGUGAUUAAUUGUCCUUUCAAGUAAAUUGCAGAUAUGUUUAUUCCAAACCCAUUUGUCCCAGAAUUGUUCCAAUCCCCUUGUUCUUACUACCAUAUCCAUCCUACAAGGAUUUCUUCGUUCUCCCAUCACUUCCAACAUAAAAUUAUUCUUCUUUGACGGCGAGGGCAAGAUCUCGCUAUACGAGCUGGCCGUCAUCCUCAGAUCCAUGGGAAUUUGCCUACUCUGUUUUCCUUUUCCUUUUGCUUUAACAUUAACUCUUUUGAAUCUAGGUUUGACGAUUUGUGGUUAAUGGUCAGAGGCGGCUGGCCGAUGGAUGGGUAAGGUAAAGGAUGAGGAGGCGAAAUAGCAGAUUCUUAUUUGAUUUAAGGGUGAUGUGGUGAAUGGUUGAAGGAAGGGAAGGUGGAGGAGGAAAUCAAGAUGGAGCUCGGAUGGGGUUGGACGAUGCAGUGAAGGAGAGUGGAGAAGAUGAUGUUGAUUUUUUUAUUUUAUUAAUUGAUUUUUUUUUAUUUAAAUCUUUUUAUAUUUUUGGUUGGCAUUUGAUGUGUCGUUUUUUACCGGUCAAGAAGUUGUCACGUAAGUUUUAAUUGAACCCUCACUGACAUCGUCAAGCCAUAUCAGCAUGAUAACGCAGUCGGCAAAAAAUUUAUAUUUCAAAAAUAAUUAUGAUAUAGAAAGUAAUGUGUCAAUAGGUCAUUUAUAUUUAGGCAGUAAAAUCAAAAGUUCGUGAUAUUUUAAAGAUUUUUGCUUAAAAAAGAACAACCGUAAGUAUUACAAUUGGGAAGGCUUAAGGUUGUUGACAUGUAUAGUUGCUCGCGGCCUAACGUUCGGUUUAAGAAAAAAUUCAUUUGUAUUUUAAUUUGAUUUUAAACAAGCCAAACUUGAGUAAGAUUAUAUACGAUUCGAUAGGCUCGUGAGUCGGCUUGAGCUCAAAUUCAAGAUUCAACUCAAAUAUUAGCUUGAGUUUGCGGAUUGCAACAUGUAUUUUUUAGGACUUUUGGUACUUGCAUUUUUUCUUUGACAAAAAUCUCUCAUAUUACGAACUAUGCCAAAUUCUCUUAAAUGAACAUGAUCUAUCACCUAUAUUUAAGGCGUCACAACCUUUUAAUAUUUUUUCAAACCAUGUAAUGACAUUAACCUCCGUUAAGUCAUUCACUAUACCGGUUUGCGUGAGUCUGAAUCGGCCAUGUGAGCUUGCCACGUCAGUUUAAUGAUUGCCGCAUCAUAUUAAUAUGUGGAAUUUCUUUCUCCAAUUUGUGGAAAUUAUCAUAUGGGGAUAUGUGUGGUUGAAAAAAUUAAUAAAUUAAGAAUUCAAUUAAGAUAAUAUUCUGGUGGAAACAUGCACCGGGUACAAACGCGAUGUCGCGAGUUCUAACUGACCUUCCCAAUUUUAUGCCAUUGAAAUCCUUAAAUUUGUGUAAUUAACAAUUUU
rnacentral:lncRNA from 1 species